UGGGGAAUUUUGGACAAUGGGCGCAAGCCUGACCCAGCCAUGCCGCGUGCGGGAGGAAGGCCUUCGGGUUGUAAACCGCUUUUGUCAGGGAAGAAAUCUUCUGAGUUAAUACCUCGGGAGGAUGACGGUACCUGAAGAAUAAGCACCGGCUAACUACGUGCCAGCAGCCGCGGUAAUACGUAGGGUGCAAGCGUUAAUCGGAAUUACUGGGCGUAAAGCGUGCGCAGGCGGUUUUGUAAGACAGAGGUGAAAUCCCCGGGCUCAACCUGGGAACUGCCUUUGUGACUGCAAGGCUUGAGUGCGGCAGAGGGGGAUGGAAUUCCGCGUGUAGCAGUGAAAUGCGUAGAUAUGCGGAGGAACACCGAUGGCGAAGGCAAUCCCCCUGGGCCUGCACUGACGCUCAUGCACGAAAGCGUGGGGAGCAAACAGGAUUAGAUACCCUGGUAGUCCACGCCCUAAACGAUGUCAACUGGUUGUUGGGAAGGUUCCUUCUCAGUAACGUAGCUAACGCGUGAAGUUGACCGCCUGGGGAGUACGGCCGCAAGGUUGAAACUCAAAUGAAUUGACGGGGUCAUAGC
rnacentral:rRNA from 1 species